UACGUAGGGCGCAAGCGUUGUCCGGAAUUAUUGGGCGUAAAGAGCUCGUAGGCGGCUUGUCACGUCGGAUGUGAAAGCCCGGGGCUUAACCCCGGGUCUGCAUUCGAUACGGGCAGGCUAGAGUGUGGUAGGGGAGAUCGGAAUUCCUGGUGUAGCGGUGAAAUGCGCAGAUAUCAGGAGGAACACCGGUGGCGAAGGCGGUUCUCUGGGCAUGUCCUGACGCUGAGGAGCGAAAGUGUGGGGAGCGAACAGG
rnacentral:rRNA from 1 species